GACGAACGCUGGCGUCGUGCUUAACACAUGCAAGUCGAACGGAAAGGCCCUGCUUUUGUGGGGUGCUCGAGUGGCGAACGGGUGAGUAACACGUGAGUAACCUGCCCUUGACUUUGGGAUAACUUCAGGAAACUGGGACUAAUACCGGAUAGGAGCUCCUGCUGCAUGGUGGGGGUUGGAAAGUUUCGGCGGUUGGGGAUGGACUCGCGGCUUAUCAGCUUGUUGGUGGGGUAGUGGCUUACCAAGGCUUUGACGGGUAGCCGGCCUGAGAGGGUGACCGGCCACAUUGGGACUGAGAUACGGCCCAGACUCCUACGGGAGGCAGCAGUGGGGAAUAUUGCACAAUGGGCGGAAGCCUGAUGCAGCAACGCCGCGUGCGGGAUGACGGCCUUCGGGUUGUAAACCGCUUUCGCCUGUGACGAAGCGUGAGUGACGGUAAUGGGUAAAGAAGCACCGGCUAACUACGUG
rnacentral:rRNA from 1 species